AACAGGAUUAGAUACCCUGGUAGUCCACGCUGUAAACGAUGAUCACUCGUUGUUGGCGAUACACAGUCAGCGACUGAGCGAAAGCAUUAAGUGAUCCACCUGGGGAGUACGGUCGCAAGACUGAAACUCAAAGGAAUUGACGGGGGCCCGCACAAGCGGAGGAACAUGUGGUUUAAUUCGAUGAUACGCGAGGAACCUUACCUGGGCUUAAAUGUAGAACGACGUUUCGGGAAACCGGAACUCCCUUCGGGGCGUUUUGCAAGGUGCUGCAUGGUUGUCGUCAGCUCGUGCCGUGAGGUGUCGGGUUAAGUCCCAUAACGAGCGCAACCCUUAUCGUUAGUUGCCAUCGGGUCAUGCCGGGAACUCUAACGAAACUGCCGGUGUAAACCGUGAGGAAGGUGGGGAUGACGUCAAAUCAGCACGGCCCUUAUGUCCAGGGCUACACACGUGUUACAAUGGUCGGUACAGAGGGCAGCUACCACGCGAGUGGAUGCAAAUCUCGAAAGCCGAUCUCAGUUCGGAUUGGAGUCUGCAACUCGACUCCAUGAAGCUGGAUUCGCUAGUAAUCGCGCAUCAGCCAUGGCGCGGUGAAUACGUUCCCGGGCCUUGUACACACCGCCCGUCAAGCCAUGGAAGCUGGGGGUACCUGAAGUCUGUAACCGCAAGGAGCGGCCUAGGGUAAAACUAGUGACUGGGGCUAAGUCGUAACAAGGUAGC
rnacentral:rRNA from 1 species